UACGAAGGGGGCUAGCGUUGCUCGGAAUCACUGGGCGUAAAGCGCACGUAGGCGGGUCCUUAAGGCAGGGGUGAAAUCCCGGAGCUCAACUCCGGAACUGCCUUUGAUACUGGGGAUCUUGAGUCCGGAAGAGGUGAGUGGAACUCCGAGUGUAGAGGUGAAAUUCGUAGAUAUUCGGAAGAACACCAGUGGCGAAGGCGGCUCACUGGUCCGGUACUGACGCUGAGGUGCGAAAGCGUGGGGAGCAGACGGG
rnacentral:rRNA from 1 species